rnacentral:lncRNA from 1 species
AAAAACUGAAGUUAAUAAAUAUACUCACAAAUAUUUUGCAAGCCAAGUCCAUCUUCUUAGUCAUCGCUUCUUCUGUCCAUAUUGAUACUCUAUGAAAAGUUUUAUUUGCCGUUUUUCUCCGUUCGCAAAACCACUCUCCCAACUUUUCUUGGAUGAAAUCUAAUAUUCUUAAAAUAGGCAUUUUUUUACCUUUUAGUAAAACGAAAUUCAUUCUACCAUGUUGGUUGU